rnacentral:rRNA from 1 species
AUAGCGUAUAUUAAAGUUGUUGCAGUUAAAAAGCUCGUAGUUGAACCUUGGGUCUGGCUGGCCGGUCCGCUUCGCGGCGUGCACACGGUCUGGCUGGACCUUUCCUUCUGGGGAGCCCUAUGGCCUUCACUGGCUGUAGGGGGAACCAGGACUUUUACUGUGAAAAAAUUAGAGUGUUCAAAGCAGGCCUUUGCUCGGAUACAUUAGCAUGGAAUAAUGGAAUAGGACGUGUGGUUCUAUUUUGUUGGUUUCUAGGACCGCCGUAAUGAUUAAUAGGGAUAGUCGGGGGCGUCAGUAUUCGGCUGUCAGAGGUGAAAUUCUUGGAUUUGCUGAAGACUAACUACUGCGAAAGCAUUCGCCAAGGAUGUUUUCAUUAAUCAGUGAACGAAAGUUAGGGGAUCGAAGACGAUCAGAUACCGUCGUAGUCUUAACCAUAAACUAUGCCGACUAGGGAUCGGACGGGCAACUUUGAAUAACCCGUUCGGCACCUUACGAGAAAUCAAAGUUUUUGGGUUCUGGGGGGAGUAUGGUCGCAAGGCUGAAACUUAAAGAAAUUGACGGAAGGGCACCACCAGGCGUGGAGCCUGCGGCUUAAUUUGACUCAACACGGGGAAACUCACCAGGUCCAGACAGAAUAAGGAUUGACAGAUUGAGAGCUCUUUCUUGAUCUUUUGGAUGGUGGUGCAUGGCCGUUCUUAGUUGGUGGAGUGAUUUGUCUGCUUAAUUGCGAUAACGAACGAGACCUUAACCUGCUAAAUAGCCCGACCCACGUCUGUGGGCCGCUGGCUUCUUAGAGGGACUAUCGGCUCAAGCCG